rnacentral:rRNA from 1 species
UACGUAGGGUGCGAGCGUUAAUCGGAAUUACUGGGCGUAAAGCGUGCGCAGGCGGUUAUGUAAGACAGGUGUGAAAUCCCCGGGCUUAACCUGGGAACUGCGCUUGUGACUGCAUAACUCGAGUGUGGCAGAGGGGGGUGGAAUUCCACGUGUAGCAGUGAAAUGCGUAGAGAUGUGGAGGAACACCGAUGGCGAAGGGCAAGUCCCCCUGGGGUCCUACGUACUGACGCUCAUGCACGAAAGCGUGGGGAGCAAACAGGAUUAG